rnacentral:rRNA from 1 species
UGAGGAAUAUUGGUCAAUGGACGCAAGUCUGAACCAGCCAUGCCGCGUGAAGGAUGAAGGCCUUCUGGGUUGUAAACUUCUUUUAUGUGGGAAGAAAACUACGGUUUCUACUGUAGCCGACGGUACCAUAGGAAUAAGCACCGGCUAACUCCGUGCCAGCAGCCGCGGUAAUACGGAGGGUGCAAGCGUUAUCCGGAUUCACUGGGUUUAAAGGGUGUGUAGGCGGGCUAUUAAGUCAGUGGUGAAAUCUCCGGGCUCAACCCGGAAACUGCCAUUGAUACUAUCAGCCUUGAAUUCUGUUGAGGUGGGCGGAAUAUGUCAUGUAGCGGUGAAAUGCAUAGAUAUGACAUAGAACACCAAUUGCGAAGGCAGCUCACUAAACAGAGAUUGACGCUGAGGCACGAAAGCGUGGGGAUCAAACAGGAUUAGAUACCCCUGUAGUCC